rnacentral:rRNA from 1 species
ACUAUGGAGAGUUUGAUCCUGGCUCAGGAUGAACGCUAGCGGCAGGCCUAAUACAUGCAAGUCGAGGGGUAAAUAUUGUAGCAAUAUGAUAUGAGACCGGCGCACGGGUGCGUAACACGUAUGCAACCUACCUUUUACUGGGGAAUAGCUCAGAGAAAUCUGAAUUAAUACCCCAUAACACUGCGAAAAGGCAUCUUUUUGUAGUUAAAGCUCCGGCGGUAAAAGAUGGGCAUGCGGAACAUUAGCUAGUUGGUGAGGUAAUGGCUCACCAAGGCUACGAUGUUUAGGGGGUCUGAGAGGAUGAUCCCCCACACUGGUACUGAGACACGGACCAGACUCCUACGGGAGGCAGCAGUAGGGAAUAUUGGGCAAUGGACGCAAGUCUGACCCAGCCAUGCCGCGUGCAGGAUGAAUGUCCUAUGGAUUGUAAACUGCUUUUAUACGGGAAGAAACCCCAGGAUGCGUUCUGGGCUGACGGUACUGUAUGAAUAAGGAUCGGCUAACUUCGUGCCAGCAGCCGCGGUAAGACGAAGGAUUCAAGCGUUGUCCGGAUUUACUGGGUUUAAAGGGUGCGUAGGCGGAACUUUAAGUCAGUGGUGAAAGCUCUCGGCUCAACCGAGAAAUUGCCAUUGAAACUGAUUUUCUUGAAUACAGUUGAGGUAGAUGGAAUAUAACAUGUAGCGGUGAAAUGCUUAGAUAUGUUAUAGAACACCAAUUGCGAAGGCAGUCUGCUAAGCUGUUAUUGACGCUGAGGCACGAAAGCGUGGGGAGCAAACAGGAUUAGAUACCCUGGUAGUCCACGCCCUAAACGUUGAUUACUCGCUGUUGGCGAUACACUGUCAGCGGCUAAGCGAAAGCGUUAAGUAAUCCACCUGGGAAGUACGACCGCAAGGUUGAAACUCAAAGGAAUUGACGGGGGCCCGCACAAGCGGAGGAGCAUGUGGUUUAAUUCGAUGAUACGCGAGGAACCUUACCUGGGCUUAAAUGUCAAGUGAUCGCUGCCGAAAGGUGGCUUCCCUUCGGGGCAAUUGGCAAGGUGCUGCAUGGCUGUCGUCAGCUCGUGCCGUGAGGUGUUGGGUUAAGUCCCGCAACGA